GUAGCUUUGGGUUCGUGUGCUGGAAUUGUAAUCGAGUACGGUUCGGUAUAAUGGAGUGAUAUUAAAACGGCAGUCUGCAGUUCGAGCUAUAAUUUUCUGCUCGGCACAGUGCAAAUAGAAGGGAAAUAUUGAGAGCGAUGGAAUACAAAAUUUACAAGCUUUGAUGGAACUUAACCGAGUUCUAACGAUGUAAAUGGAAGAGGACUUCGACACUUAAAUAACACUAAAAACUAAAAAACAACGUUAAAAUCCUUCACAGUUGAAAUGCUUUAUGCUGCAGUGGCCACGAGGCAAUAAUAUGCAAAUGAGCUCUAUUAUUUACAUAAGGAGCGAUUCAUGCAGGCAACUGACGACAGCACUAAUUAUAUAUGCACAUAUACAUAUAUAUGCUAUACAUAUCCAAGGAUUCUAUUAUUGCAUGACUAGAAAUCAUUUUAACAGCUGCAUUGGUUAAAAAUAGAAUACACAAUGGUUCAUGCGAUAAUUCUCAACAAAUGCAACUCUGGAACAAAUAACAGCAUUGGAAAUUGGACUGCUGGAUGUCAAACUACCGUAGCGAAAGAUAUAAAUUGACCGAUGAUUGUCGGAUAUUUCUUGAUUAAUUUUUAAUUUGGGAGUUGUAACGUAUCACUGACUGAUAGAAGGUUUCAAGUCCUAGACGUCCAUUCGCACGGCAAUCGACUUUUCAUAGUUGAUAUGGAUCCGAAUUUUUAUCCAGCCAAAGACUAUGAACAUGGCAGUAUUCUCCAAAAUUAUUUGUUUGCCACCACAACAACAACGACAGUCUAUUUAUUUCACUAUUAAUGGAUCAAUAAUUCAUAAAUUAAUGAUUUUAAAUAA